GGGGAAUAUUGCGCAAUGGGGGAAACCCUGACGCAGCAACGCCGCGUGAGUGAUGAAGGUCUUCGGAUUGUAAAACUCUGUCUUUGGGGACGAUAAUGACGGUACCCAAGGAGGAAGCCACGGCUAACUACGUGCCAGCAGCCGCGGUAAUACGUAGGUGGCAAGCGUUGUCCGGAUUUACUGGGCGUAAAGAGUAUGUAGGCGGAUAUUUAAGUCAGAUGUGAAAUCCCCGGGCUUAACCUGGGAGCUGCAUUUGAUACUGGGUGUCUAGAGUGUAGGAGAGGAAAGUGGAAUUCCUAGUGUAGCGGUGAAAUGCGUAGAGAUUAGGAAGAACACCAGUGGCGAAGGCGACUUUCUGGACUAUAACUGACGCUGAGAUACGAAAGCGUGGGGAGCAAAC
rnacentral:rRNA from 1 species